rnacentral:rRNA from 1 species
UACGUAGGGUGCAAGCGUUGUCCGGACUUAUUGGGCGUAAAGCGCGUGUAGGCGGCUUUGCAAGUCGGGUGUGAAAGCCCUCAGCUCAACUGAGGAAGUGCGCCCGAAACUGCAGAGCUUGAGUGCCGGAGAGGGUGGCGGAAUUCCCCAAGUAGAGGUGAAAUUCGUAGAUAUGGGGAGGAACACCGGUGGCGAAGGCGGCCACCUGGACGGUAACUGACGCUGAGACGCGAAAGCGUGGGGAGCAAACAGG